rnacentral:rRNA from 1 species
GCUGAAACCCAAUAGUACAGCAAAGCUCCGGUGGCGCUGAUAGAGCAGGUAAACAGACUUCCAAGAAAACCCGCUAAGCUUCAGGUUAUGAAGACCCGUACCGCAAACCGACACAGGUGGUCGAGGAGAGAAUCCUAAGGUGCUCGAGUGAGUCAUGGCUAAGGAACUCGGCAAAAUGGCCCUGUAACUUCGGGAGAAGGGGCGCUGUCUCGAAAGAGCAGCCGCAGUGAAAAGGCCCAGGCGACUGUUUAACAAAAACAUAUGGCUUUGCAAAAUCGCAAGAUGAAGUAUAAGGCCUGACACCUGCCCGGUGCUGGAAGGUUAAGAGGGGAUGUCAUCGCAAGAGAAGCAUUGAAUCGAAGCCCCAGUAAACGGCGGCCGUAACUAUAACGGUCCUAAGGUAGCGAAAUUCCUUGUCGGGUAAGUUCCGACCUGCACGAAUGGUGUAACGAUCUGGGCGCUGUCUCAGCCAUGAGCUCGGUGAAAUUGUGGUAUCGGUGAAGACGCCGAUUACCCGCAACGGGACGGAAAGACCCCAUGCACCUUCACUAUAGCUUAACAUUGAGAUUGGGUACAGGAUGUGUAGGAUAGGCGGGAGAUGUUGAAGUGGCUUCGCCAGGAGUCAUGGAAUCAACCUUGAAAUACCGCCCUUUCUGUAUUCGGUUUCUAACUCGGUAUUUCCGAGGACAUUGUUUGGUGGGUAGUUUGACUGGGGUGGUCGCCUCCAAAAAGGUAACGGAGGCUUUCAAAGGUAAGCUCAGUACGCUUGGUAACCGUACGUGGAGUGCAAUGGCAUAAGCUUGCUUGACUGUGAGACCGACAAGUCGAACAGGGUCGAAAGACGGACAUAGUGAUCCGGUGGUUCUGUAUGGAAGGGCCAUCGCUCAAAGGAUAAAAGGUACGCUGGGGAUAACAGGCUGAUCUCCCCCAAGAGCUCAUAUCGACGGGGAGGUUUGGCACCUCGAUGUCGGCUCGUCACAUCCUGGGGCUGGAGAAGGUCCCAAGGGUUGGGCUGUUCGCCCAUUAAAGUGGCACGCGAGCUGGGUUCAGAACGUCGCGAGACAGUUCGGUCCCUAUCUGUUGUGGGCGUUGGAAGUUUGAGUGGAUCUGACCUUAGUACGAGAGGACCGGGUUGGACAGACCUCUGGUGAACCUGUUAUGCCGCCAGGUGUACGGCAGGGUAGCUACGUCUGGAAUAGAUAAGCGCUGAAAGCAUCUAAGUGCGAAACUAGCCACGAGAUGAGACUUCCUUAUAGGGUCGUAGAAGAUGACUACGUUGAUAGGCCAUAGGUGUAAAGGUUGAGAGACCAAAGCCAAGUGGUACUAAUAGCCCGAAGCUUUCUCAAG